CCUCUUUCUAAAAAUCAGAUUUGAUCAUGUCAUUCUUUACUUAACAAAUUUCAGUGGCUCCCUAUUAUCUCCAGGAGUAAAUAAAAAAUAUCCUAUUUGACAUUCAAAGCCUUUCAUAAAUGAAUCCUCUUUAACUUUUCCAUUCUUCUUACAGCUUAAUCUUCUACACAUCUUCUUUGAUCCAGUAACUUUGGGCUCCUGGUUAUACCAUGAACAAGAUGCCCUUCUGUGUCCAGUCUGCCCCAGAUGAAUAAGAAGUUUGCACCUAAUCUUGAAUGUGAUGGAAUCAUGGGGACCAUGUUGGACAAAUUUGGGGGGAUAUACAGAAAUAAAUAACUUUACAAGAAAAUUGAAGAAGGGAGCAUGCUGACAACGAUAAGGCAAUGGAAGCUAGCCAGGAAUUUUGAGCAAGUGGAUGACAUGAACAGAUUAUCAAACAUAAUCUCUUUUAUGAGAUUAUUUUGGCAGCUAAGUGAAUAAUAUUUUGGAAGGAGAAAAAUGAGAAAUGGUACCUAUUAGAAGCCUAUUAAAUUAUUCUAUGUGGUACAUAAUUAGCAACUGAACUAUGAUGUUGGCUAUGUGAAUAAGAAGAGUAAUCCAAAAAGAGGAGAUAGAGGAAAGGUGAAAUAGACAGUCCUUGGAAACUGUUUGUCUAAUGAUAUAGGAGAUAAUAAGGAGGGACAAAAAAAGAAAAAAAUGUAUGGAUUAUUACAUGAUUAUUAAAAUGUAUUAUUGGGAAGAUGCUUAUGUUAUAAGCAGAUAGGGGAGUGUUCAAGAAGAAACAAUAUAGGUG
rnacentral:lncRNA from 1 species